AAACGGGAGGAGACAGCUCUCAGACUUAGUCUCAUUCUGAGAUUCCUGGAGGCAGGACAACCAUUUUUGGACUGAUGCUGAGGUAAGAGUUAGUGACUAACUACUUUGCUUUUCUGGUCUUCAGGUUGAACCCCAAUUUCUAUCCCUGAGUUUUUAUUAAUGGUGCUUCACAUUACAGUUACUUAGUGAGUAACCCUAACUAAGACAGUUUGCCUGACUACAUUGCCUUUAACGAGGCCAAUAAAACAGUCAACCACAGGAACUAACAGAUUCCAGUGACUGCUUUAGAUAAGAGACUUUGGAAACAAGGCAGAGAAAACAAUGCUUACCCACUGAGGUGAGAAGACAGGGAGGAGGCAGGCAGUGAUGCUCCCCAGCAGGACAGAGCCAGGCAUAAGGAUGAAGUUCCGAACAGUGGAAACCUGAUCUGUUGAUGAAGCCCCAGACUGACAACCACGUGCCAGGCGGGGAGGAAAAGAGCAGGAACUGUUCUCUGAGCGGAGAACUCUGCGGCAGCUCCUGUUCCCACCCUCCGGUGUCUGUACUCCCUGGCUUCGUCCCGCAUCUGAAGGCUGCGUGUUAUGAAAACCGCGUCACGUCUUUUCUAUUCUGUCUGGGCGUUUAUGAAUUAAGCACUAAUGAUAAUAAUUACCAUUAUGUUUGUUACUUUUCUUCUUCAUGUGGCAAAACACCUGACAGACACUACUUAAGAGGGGGAAGGGUUUGUUUGGGCUGAGGUUCAGAGGGGUCAGUUUCCCAUUGUCAGGAGGCCAAGGUGGGUGAAGAAGCAGAGAGGGGGAAAGGCUGGCAUUUUGUUGAUUGUCUCCUUUUCCCUUUAAUUAGAUCUGGGACCUCACAUGUUGCUGCCGCCCACAUUGAGGGAGGAGUGAGUCACGCCUCCUUCAGAUAAGCCUUUCUGUUUCCCUUUGACUCUUCUGAUAUGGAAACACCUCUUAUAGCCCAAUCCAAACAUAUGGAGUGGUUUGAUCCUGAAGAUCACUUUGAGGCUUGACUUGGAGCUCCUUCAUACAGCAAGAUGCUUUUCCUCUAAAGCAGUGGUUCUCAUUCUUCGUAAUGCUACGACCCUUUAAUACAGUUCCUCAUGUUGUGGUGACCCCCAAUAAUAAAAUUAGUUUUGUUGCUACUUCACAACUGCAAUUUUGAUACUGUGAUGAACCAUAAUGUAAGUACCUGUGUUUUCCAAUGGUCUUAGGCGACCCCUGUGAAAGAGUUACUUGACUCCCCAAAGGUUCGCGGCCCCCAGGUUGAGAACCGCUGCUCUAGACAAGGUCUUAGAAUAGAUCCCAUCCAAUCUGACUGGUAACUAUCAGAAGAGAGAGUUUAAACAUUAACCUGGGAAAGGUGAUUACCAGACAUGGGUGAAAACCCUGUUUCAGAUGAGCUGUGUACACACGGAGGUACAUGCUAAGCCUCUGGUGAUUAAGGCUUUAAGGAGUUUGUGUGAUAAUGGGGCGUGAGUCCAGGGCAGGCCCUUGACAUAAGCACCCCAGUGAUGUCACCCCCUACAUGGUAGAAGCAUCCAGAGGACAAGGUUCAUCAUUCAUUAGGUCGUCAAGAGAUUAGAAAGAUUCUACAGAGAAAGUGGAAUAGAAAUUAGGUUUGAGGGAGAGGAAGGCUUUAUCACAUAGAGGUUUAGAGAGGGGGGAAUAUCCAGGUGGACAAAAGUUCAAAGGAAUUGCCACAUCGAGGAGAAAGGUGCAGACAAGGAGAGGGAUGGAAGGUCGGCUGGAGGGGAGGUGUAAAGUUGGCAGGAGACCAGGUUGCAACGGGGCUUGAGAACCUUACAGUUGGUGCCACGAUUCUCAUAGAAUCACUGAGGUCCCAAAUACAAACGGAGAGAUCAUAGAGAAUGAUCUGUUCAAACCCCCAUCCCUUGUUACAGAUGAGAAAAUACGGUUCAUAAAUACGCAGGUGGUUGGGUCAAGGUCACACAGCCUUCGAAGCAAAGAACUUGCCAAAGCACCUGGAAAGCUUCAACUGCUCGGCUUGCUACAUCACAUGUGGUCCCUGAGAAGCUGUAAGCAGAGAUUUAUAGACCCUGGAGAUCAGAAGCAGAGGAAACGCCCCCCUCCAUCAUCCUUCCAAUCCCAACAUUACACUGGGUCAUAAGAGGGGCCAGCAAAAACAGUUACUCCAAUGAUUUAUGAUGCAGAAACAGAGACCACCUACUGUGCCCAGGCCUGGAGCGCAUUCCGCUUCAAUCUUGAAAAUAAUACUGGGUGUCCCUGGUUUGCUAGCCAUAAGCUAGCAUGCAUUGCUGCCUUGGUGUCAGGAUACAGUAGCCCCUCCAGCCCUGGAUUCACAUGACCUUGUUUGUGAGGAACCAGAGCUUCAGGCUGAUCACGAGUAAGACACGAUUGACUUUCUUGGCUCUUGUGUCUGGAAGAAAAUGAAUCCCAGAUCGUGCUGUCGGCAUGGAGGGGUGGUGGCUGAGCUCCUGACUGAGAAACCAAGGGCAGCUGCAGACCUUGGAGAGGGUUAGAGAAAAAUCAACCAAGACUCUUCUCUGGGUUGGGACCUCAACUUACAGAUGGUGUUUGUUUCAUGGACCCGACCCACUAGACGUCACAGAAAGUCACUGCCAAGCAGAACUCUAGAGGAUAUCUUGGUCAUUCCUCCUUUAAGAAGAAAAAUAACCCACAUGAGGUCAAAGUUAGGCAACUGGCAGAACCAAGGCAGCCAGCUCUCAGGGUUCAUACUUCUUCCACUGAAACCCAUCAUCUUCCUCAAGCAACAAGGAAGGUUCCAGGUCCAAUCACUCGUUACUUAAAAAGUAACGCAAGAUUAUCUCCCCUGGGUAUCAUCUACCAUCGUCACUGCAGUGGAGACAACGUCCUCCUCCCUGGGACAGAGUUUUCAGCUAACUUUCAGGUUUGGGAAACUGGCUAUUGUUGGCUCAGAGUGUGUUCAGUAUGGAUUAGUUGACUGAAAUAACAUCUCAUAACCUAGAACCUCAGGGAACCAAGUGGGCAGAGAGCUAGGAGAACAGAGGACUAGGAAGAGAUGACUAGUCCUUCACUAGAACAAAGGACUAGUGAAGCGAGAACUUGGUUCUUCAGGGUGGCCUGAGGGGACUGAAAGAAUUGAAAAGUCGGAGAAGGGCCAGUAGAGGUGGUCUGGUGAAACUUCACACAUGACCAGGCCAUCCCUGCACAGAGAAGGGCAUUUCCACGGAUGCUGGAAUCAUGAGAGGCAGUUGGUAGAUAGAUGGGCUUAAUCCCCUUGCCUCACCAUGCUUCCAUUAUCUUAUUGACCACAAUAGAGUCCUAGCCAUUACAUCGUCAUCUGCUCGAUAGUUCUAGACAGGAUGUCAAGAUCUAGAAGCCAAUAGCUAAGGAUGUCUCCUCCCAAACUCUUGGCCUUCCUACACCAUGGGGAAGUAUUGGACAACGGUGUCAAGAUGGAAAUGGACUUCCUGGAGGCUCACCCGGCAGCAGUUGUGAACCUGCAGAGAGACACUGGAAGAUGACGGAGAGGAUGGUAGUGCUGGAGGUGGAAAGCACUCCAUUAACAGCUGAAAGAGUCUCAGGGAGGGUGAUUCCUUCUAUUCAGCAGUUGACUGGUGUUCUCACGGUACACAGGCACAGUGACGAAUUAGACAGCCCCAGUGCCGUUUGCAGAAUGAGUAGUAAAGUCAGUCACGUCACAUAAAAAUAAAAAUGCUUUUUGUCCAAAGAAUCCCUAAGCUCCUGACUUUUGUCCCCACCCCCAGCACCCUUCCUUCUUUGAGUGGCAAUCCCCUCCUACCCUUUCUCCCCAUAUCCUCCAAAUUCUUCCUUUCUUCCAGCUCUCCUCAGCCCACUGAAAAGGUUCUUUUCUUAGGAGAAUAAUGAACGUUUUUUCUUAGUUAUGUAACCCACACUCCCAUGAACACAUGGUUGCACACAUAUGCCGUGAACAUCCAGGCUUGUUCUCCACUUCCUUAUCCUUUGGUAAGAUACCACAUCUGAUCAUAUGAAAGCAGGGGGGAGCCUGGCACAUCACGCUCCUUAAAUGGUUCCCCCUCCCAUCCUUCCAAAACUGCGAGGGAGCUUGCACCUCAAAAAACCAGUCACUCGGCACACAUCACUUCCUCUCGCUAUGCCUCGGACUCCAGGUCUGUAAACUAGAACCUCACCGGAGAUGACCUCAGAAGCCCUUGCCCUUGUGAGACCUAACCUUGAAGCAGCGCCUUUGAGGGUUGAGGCAUGAGGCUGAUGAGGUCCAACGGCUCAUCAGACAGCAUCGUUCCCAUGUCCCCGUCUCAUCUCCCACAGCACAGGGCAGAAUCAUCAAACAUAUUUGCAUCGUCCAGAGCCCAUGAAGCCCCAGGAGACCAACUCUGUGAGCUGAGUCAUAUCUCAGCUAAUAGACGCUGUUUCAGUCCCUCAGAUCUGCCUGGGAAUAGAGAACGCUGGAGCAAGGACCCAAAGGUAAACUUUUGAAAGCUUCUAACGGAAGAAGGCUUCAUCUGAAUGAUCCUUUUUCUGCAGGAUGUACAGUGCAGCCUGUAGACACCAACCCCCUGGGAUGCUAAGGUUCCAGCAGCCACGCCCAGUCCAGGACCCCGGGUCCUAGGGAUUCAGGGCUCACUGCACAGGCCUGAGAGCUGGCAGAGAGGGCAUUGUCCCCAGCCAGGGAUAGAUUUUCAUUAGCAGCCCACCCAAAUGUUCCUCGGCUGUGCAUUUCAGGAGUGGAAAUGGGAGAGGAAGCAGAGGAAGUCCUGGCAGGCUUAGAAACCCUCCCGCUUUUUCAAGGACAUAGAAGUAAGUCCAACGUGGCUUUGUGUUUAAAAAUGAAAUGCCAGCACAGAGCAGAUUCCUGAUGCAUGUGUCCCAGAUGUUUCUGGACUAUUUAUUUUUGUUAAUGGAAAAUGGCUGAGUUAAUAACCCUCCUAAGAAUUCCCAUAGGGAGUUUGUGUCUGCAUGUCUCAUAUUUGCUUAUGGGUUUAGUAGGAAAGAAAAAGAAUGGUAUCAGACAUAAGGGAAAGCCCAAGAAACACUGUCCUAAUGACAGCUUAUGACAAAAACCUAUGCCUACAUUUAAAAAAAAACAAUUUGUCUAAUUAUUGAAUAUUCAUAAGGCACUGAACUUCUUCUUAUCAUUAUCUCAUUUAAACCCUAUGGCAAGGAAGAUGCCAAGCCUCAGAGCAGGCAGCGAGUGUCCUGCCCAACCAGUCACUCACCCGGUAACAGUCGGGCAGAUGCAGAAAAUCAAGUUUCAAACUCCAGAUCAGAAACCUCCCCACCACCCUACUCAACGUGGAAAUGACAGGCACAUGCAAGGAUCCCAAAGGACCUUAGGAGGGUCUCUAAUACAUGUGUCUGCUUUGUGUCAACCCUUCCUGUUCAUGCCUUAAAGUGGUUCAAAUGCCAAGUCAGUUUCUGCCUUAUAGGAGGAGACACACUGUGUGCUGGCCCAAGAGGAAAGGACAAGCUUCAACAUCUCCACUUCCCAACAUCUGGAGAGUGAGUCAUCGAGCUAGGACUAAAGCUGCGUUCAGGGAAAGCAAGAAAGACAGCAAUGAGGUCAGGGCCGGGGCCAACUGCAUACAUAUCCUUCGUCUGGUGAAGGACAGCUAUGCAGUCGGAGGCCCACAUUGGAG